AUGCACGCUGGCGGCGUGCCUAAUACAUGCAAGUCGCGCGAACGGACGAGAAGCUUGCUUUUCUGAUGUUAGCGGCGGACGGGUGAGUAACACGUGGAUAACCUACCUAUAAGACUGGGAUAACUUCGGGAAACCGGAGCUAAUACCGGAUAAUAUUUUGAACCGCAUGGUUCAAAAGUGAAAGACGGUCUUGCUGUCACUUAUAGAUGGAUCCGCGCUGCAUUAGCUAGUUGGUAAGGUAACGGCUUACCAAGGCAACGAUGCAUAGCCGACCUGAGAGGGUGAUCGGCCACACUGGAACUGAGACACGGUCCAGACUCCUACGGGAGGCAGCAGUAGGGAAUCUUCCGCAAUGGGCGAAAGCCUGACGGAGCAACGCCGCGUGAGUGAUGAAGGUCUUCGGAUCGUAAAACUCUGUUAUUAGGGAAGAACAUAUGUGUAAGUAACUGUGCACAUCUUGACGGUACCUAAUCAGAAAGCCACGGCUAACUACGUG
rnacentral:rRNA from 1 species